rnacentral:rRNA from 1 species
CGCAGCCGCGGUAAUUCCAGCUCCAAUAGCGUAUAUUAAAGUUGUUGCAGUUAAAAAGCUCGUAGUUGAACUUCGGGGUUUACCCAUUGGUCAGGCUUAAUUGUCUGUACUGGUGAGAUAAAUCUCUACCUUCUGAGGAACUUUCAUGUCAUUAAUUUGGUGUGAUUGGAAAUCAGGACUGUUACUUUGAAAAAAUUAGAGUGUUUAAAGCAGGCUAACGUCUGAAUACAUUAGCAUGGAAUAAUGAAAUAGGACGGACUGAUUCUAUUUCGUUGGUUUCUAGGAUCACCGUAAUGAUUAAUAGGGAUAGUUGGGGGCAUUAGUAUUCAAUUGUCAGAGGUGAAAUUCUUGGAUUUAUUGAAGACUAACUACUGCGAAAGCAUUUGCCAAGGAUGUUUUCAUUAAUCAAGAACGAAAGUUAGGGGAUCGAAGACGAUCAGAUACCGUCGUAGUCUUAACCAUAAACUAUGCCGACUAGGGAUCGGACGAAGUUAAUUUUAUAAUUGACGCGUUCGGCACC